GUGUCAGCAGCCGCGGUAAGACGAACCGUGCGAACGUUGUUCGGAAUCACUGGGCUUAAAGGGCGCGUAGGCGGGCCUUCAGGUCGGGGGUGAAAUACCACAGCUCAACUGUGGAAGUGCCCCCGAUACCGGAGGCCUCGAGGGGGAUAGGGGCGUGUGGAACUUCCGGUGGAGCGGUGAAAUGCGUAGAUAUCGGAAGGAACGCCGGUGGCGAAAGCGACACGCUGGAUCCCUACUGACGCUGAGGCGCGAAAGCCAGGGGAGCAAACGGGAUUAGAUACCCUUGUAGUCC
rnacentral:rRNA from 1 species